AAGAGAAGAUGUAUUUAUAACUUUUACUUUUAGUACAGCUUCUGAAUUUAGUUAUCAAUAGAUAGGACAAAAUAGAUGAGCAUCUGCUUCCCUUCCCCCUAAACAAUGUAUUCUUACUGAAAUGUAAUAUAUUUUUAUUUAUACUUGAAGACACUGUUUUUCAAUCUUUUCCUUGUUAGUAGCUCAGAUCUUUAAGGACAGAGGAUGUAUACUGGGGGCAGCUCGUGGUCUUAAUCCUGACUGGCACUCUGAUAUUUUAGAUUUCUUUUGUAUUUGUGAAUAAAACUUCUGCUCCAGUAGGAUGAGCCUGUUUACCUUGUGACUCCCUAACUAAUCUAUUGCUUUAUAGAUUCAAGUUCAAGUGAUUCUCCUACUUCAGCCUCCCAAAUUGCUGGGAUUACAGGUGCCCGCCACCACGCCUGGCUAAUUUUUUGUAUUUUAGUAGAGAUGAGGUUUCACCAUGUUGGCACGGGCUAGUCUCAAACUCUUGACCUUGGUGAUAGGCCCAUCUCAGCCUCCCAAACUGCUGGGUUUACAGGCAAGAGCCACCACGCCCGGCCUACUAUGUCUUAAAAGUGUUUGCAUCGUUACCUAGAUUCUCUUUCAAUGUGAGUUUUUAUUGGUUUAUUAUAGGUUAUUUUAUUUUUAGGAAGCCAUCAUUCUUUAGAGGGCAAUGACGGAACAGUACCAGCAGAAAUUGAAGUACCAGCAGAAGGUUUUUUUUGUUUUGUUUUGUUUUGUUUUUCCAGCAGAAGGUUAAGAGAAAAAGACAUUUUAUAUUUUAUUGUAUUUGUUGGGUUUUUUUUUUUU
rnacentral:lncRNA from 1 species